GAUGAACGCUGGCGGCGUGCCUAACACAUGCAAGUCGAGCGUGAACCCUGCGAAUGAAACUUCGGUCGAUUUUGCAGGGGGAAAGCGGCGGACGGGUGAGUAACGCGUAGGUAACCUGCCCCAUACUGAGGGGAUAGCCUCGGGGAAACCGGGAUUAAUACCUCAUAACACCGUAUAUUCGCAUGGAUGUGCGGUCAAAGAUUUAUCGGUAUGGGAUGGGCCUGCGUCUGAUUAGCUGGUUGGUGGGGUAACGGCCUACCAAGGCGACGAUCAGUAGCCGACCUGAGAGGGUGAUCGGCCGACAUUGGGAACUGAGACACGGUCCAAACUCCUACGGGAGGCAGCAGUGGGGAAUAUUGCACAAUGGGCGAAAGCCUGAUGCAGCAACGCCGCGUGAGCGAAGAAGGCCUUUGGGUCGUAAAGCUCUGUCGGGUAGGAAGAUAAUGACGGUACUACCCGGAGGAAGCCCCGGCUAACUACGUGCCAGCAGCCGACGGUAAAUCACGUGUACG
rnacentral:rRNA from 1 species